ACGGAAGGCAGCAGUGGGGAAUAUUGGACAAUGGGCGCAAGCCUGAUCCAGCGACGCCGCGUGAGUGAAGAAGUAUUUCGGUAUGUAAAGCUCUAUCAGCAGGGAAGAUAAUGACGGUACCUGACUAAGAAGCUCCGGCUAAAUACGUGCCAGCAGCCGCGGUAAUACGUAUGGAGCAAGCGUUAUCCGGAUUUACUGGGUGUAAAGGGUGUGUAGGCGGCAUGGCAAGUCAGAAGUGAAAGACCGGGGCUCAACCCCGGGGCUGCUUUUGAAACUGCUGUGCUCGAGUCCAGGAGGGGCAAGCGGAAUUCCUAGUGUAGCGGUGAAAUGCGUAGAUAUUAGGAAGAACACCGGUGGCGAAGGCGGCUUGCUGGACUGGAACUGACGCUGAGGCACGAAAGCGUGGGGAGCAAACAGGAUUAGAUACCCUGGUA
rnacentral:rRNA from 1 species